AUUGAACGCUGGCGGCAGGCCUAACACAUGCAAGUCGAACGAGUGGCGGACGGGUGAGUAAUGUCUGGGAAACUGCCUGAUGGAGGGGGAUAAAUACUGGAAACGGUAGCUAAUACCGCAUACAAGCAGAUGUGACAAUAUGGGAUUAGCUUGUUGGUGGGGUAAAGGCUCACCAAGGCGACGAUCCAUAGCUGGUUUGAGAGGAUGAACAGCCACACUGGAACUGAGACACGGCCCAGACUCCUACGGGAGGCAGCAGUGGGGAAUAUUGCACAAUGGGCGCAAGCCUGAUGCAGCCAUGCCGCGUGUAUGAAGAAGGCCUUCGGGUUGUAAAGUACUUUCAGCGGGGAGGCAUUACCCGCAGAAUAAGCACCGGCUAACUCCGUGCCAGCAGCCGCGGUAAUAC
rnacentral:rRNA from 1 species